GAGGGUAUAGUUCAGUGGUAGAGUAUGUGCUUAGCAUGCAAGAGGUCCUGGGUUCAAUCCCCGGUACCUCCG
rnacentral:tRNA from 1 species